rnacentral:rRNA from 1 species
GACGAACGCUGGCGGCGUGCCUAAUACAUGCAAGUAGAACGCUGAAGGAGGAGCUUGCUUCUCUGGAUGAGUUGCGAACGGGUGAGUAACGCGUAGGUAACCUGCCUGGUAGCGGGGGAUAACUAUUGGAAACGAUAGCUAAUACCGCAUAAGAGUAGAUGUUGCAUGACAUUUGCUUAAAAGGUGCAAUUGCAUCACUACCAGAUGGACCUGCGUUGUAUUAGCUAGUUGGUGGGGUAACGGCUCACCAAGGCGACGAUACAUAGCCGACCUGAGAGGGUGAUCGGCCACACUGGGACUGAGACACGGCCCAGACUCCUACGGGAGGCAGCAGUAGGGAAUCUUCGGCAAUGGACGGAAGUCUGACCGAGCAACGCCGCGUGAGUGAAGAAGGUUUUCGGAUCGUAAAGCUCUGUUGUAGGAGAAGAACGAGUGUGAGAGUGGAAAGUUCACACUGUGACGGUAUCUUACCAGAAAGGGACGGCUAACUACGUG